UGUGAUCUUCUUCUUAAAAAAAUAAAUAACUUACCAUAUUAUGUUCUUAAGACAUGGAUUUCUUAGUUUGUACAUAUUUUGUCAGCAAAAGGAAAAGGAUUUUAAGGAUAAUGAGAUGAUGUUCCACUUACCAUCUUUAGUCAAAGUCAAACUCAUUGUUUUCUUCUGUGGUCAGGUGCUGAUAAUCUUAUCCCAAUGGAAUUGGCACUGAAAAUUGCUAGUAAAAUCAAAGCUAAGGAGAGAUUUGCUAUUUAUAUUGUUUUACCUAUGUGGCCAGAAGGUGAUCCUAAAUCUGGAGCUGUGCAAGAAAUCCUUUUCUGGCAGGUAUGUGAUUAUCUAAUGUCAAAAUUUAUAUUAGAAUUUUGGUUGGGUCUUAAUUAACCCCACAAAAUUGGCUUCUAAGGAGAGUAUUGUCUCCCAUUUAUAACCACUGCUAAGGCCAUAUUGCUAUGGGACUCCCAACACAUCCCAUCACGCCCAUAAUUAGAUAUCUGAAGCAUGGAAUGGGGGGUCUGUCAACAGAUGGCCCAACGGAUUUAGGAUAACCUGUAAUACCAUCUUAAAAUUUGCGUUGGACUUAACCCUACAAAACCGACUUGUAAAGUGAUGUCUGUCUUUCAUGAAUAAUCACUAUUUAGACCAUAUCACUUUGGGACUCCCAACAUUUUAUAAACUUGUUUAUCAUGAAAAUUUACAAUAUCUGAUUAUGAAGGCUAAGGAUCCGGCUUCUCUUUAGGGAGCACAAAGUAAGUAAUUAUCAAUAAGGAAAUCAAAGAAGCGAGUUCUCACAAAUGUUGGUUUGUUGUCGAUGUGAUGGUAUCUUAUCUAAUUACGUAUUGUUCUAAUGAAUGGUUUCCAAACCUGUAUUCAACUGUCCAACGUCUACACAACAUUAAAGGAUUUAUGUUUUUUAUUUGAGUCAAAAGAUAAAAAAAGCAACAAAAUAAAUUAAAUGUUUAUACUCAGUUCUAUGUUUUCUGUAUACAGGCUCAGACAAUGCAAAUGAUGUAUAAUGUUGUUGCUAAAGAAUUGAAAUCAAUGCAACUUAGUGAUGUGCAUCCACAAGACUACCUCAAUUUCUAUUGCCUUGGUAAUCGGGAACACUUCAAUGAAGAAAGUUCAGGCUCAAAUAGUGCACCGGUAAUUUCUCCAAAUAAAAGUUCCAUUUUGUUAAGGAUCUCUAAAAUGUACUAGUUCUUUAUCAUGUUAAAAAAUACAAGGCUGCUUUAUUUAAUAGUAUUCAGGGUGCUUUUGUUUCAGCUUUAAAAAAAAAGAUUUUGUGUUAAAAGAAUCUAGAGAUUUUUUCUAGAGAUUUUAAAAAAAUCAAGUUAUUUCUGUUUGUUUACUACCCAUAAAAAUCACUUAAAAAAAGAAUUUUAACUUUUACAUGUGUUACCUCCUUGUUUAAUAGCUUUUUUUUUUACUGGCAUUCUAAAAAAAUGGUUUUCUUUUAAAAUCCUAAACAAACACUAAAAAAUGACAAAAGUUAUUUUUUUUUUUAUUAAAAAAUAGAUUUUAUUAAAAAAAUCUGAAACAAACAGACCCUUAGUUAUCUACUACUGUAGAUGAGGUAAUCUUCUUUAUAUAGACAAUAGUGUUAGUAGGUAUCACACUAUCACUUAAUAUCACCAAUGAGAUGAUGUAUUCAAAAGUAUAAUUUUCUUUUGCUCUAAGCUUUGUACUAUCUACUGUCAAUUAAACAUAUAUUGGUUGCAUUUUCUGUGUAGUAUUGAAUUUCAUGUAGGUUUUGCAUAGAGCGUUGACCAUUUUCAGAUCAAACAAACUUAAAAAACUAUAAUCUUUUGAUUUAUCUCUUUGUGCGUUUCUUUGGCUUUGGAAAAUAACAAACAAGCAUUGAAUUCUCAGUCCACCAACCACCCUUCAAUCUUCAUCUCCAGCUCUUAACUUACAUAUGCGGUACGCCCAAACAUAAAAUCAGUUGGCUUUUCCUUUCACCAUGUAUAUGACAAGAUAGAUCUUGAUACAAUACAUUAAUCUGUAGAUGCAUCUUUUAAGUUUUAAUUGACUUGGCUACUGAUAUUAUGAUCAAAUUGUUAAAAUAAUUGUUGCUGAAAUUUUUCUUUAUGCUAUUCGAAUUGUAGAUGGUACUCUCCAAUUCAUCUAACAUUCCAACACUACGAUUUUUCUUUUUCUUCUUAGUAUAUUCCAUUUUACAUGUUUCUUAUAAUAUCCAAAUACUUGACUUUUGAAAUAUGUAUCUUAAAUGACAGACACCGAUUAUGAAUAGGUUGUGAAUUUUUUUGUCAGGUCUCUGGAGCAUUUAAAUAUCGUCGAAAUAUGAUCUAUGUGCAUGCCAAGGGGAUGAUCGUGGAUGAUGAAUAUGUUAUAUUGGGAUCUGCCAACAUAAACCAAAGAUCUAUGGCUGGUACUAAAGAUACUGAGAUAGCUAUGGGUUCAUAUCAACCCCAUUACACAUGGUCUGCGAGGAAAAAACAUCCACAUGGCCAGGUUUGUAUUUCUCACUAAGCUUUAAUUCUAGCAGCAACUCUAAUUGGAAAUUACCAUUUGUCUAGCCACAAGUGAUGCGUAACAUUGCAGUCAAACACAAAUAAGCUGGAAAUCACUUCUCACUCUUAUAAAAUUUAUUUAUUUUUGAAAUAUUUUAUUGAUUAUGGUGGCACUAAUGACCAUUUUACAACUGUCCCUGAGGGAUUUGAACUCAAAACCUUGAGGUUACAAGAUUAAACUCUUACCACUGAGCUAGCAAAAUUACUAAUUGAUUUGAUGCUUAAUGCUUAAGUAGACCGGUAAAUAACCCUUAUCCUAUCCUAUGAUGAAUGUGAAUGACUUCCCCCCAAUUUUUUAAAUUACUAAAAUAAAAAUAAAAAAUUAUAAUUUGACCUUUCAACUAGGUUUCUCUUUUACUUUUUCUGCUGUCUGUUGGGUGAAAAUUGAUUACUAUUUAUCUGAUGGGUUUUAUUCCUGCAGAUUUAUGGUUAUAGAAUGUCACUUUGGGCAGAGCAUCUUGGUAUGUUAGAUGAAACAUUUAAAGAGCCAGAAAGAUUGGAGUGUGUGCGUAAAGUGAAUGAAAUAGCAGACGAUAAUUGGAGAAAAUACGCUUCUGAAGAAAUGUCACUGCUACAGGGACAUCUUCUUAAGUAUCCCGUACAAAUAGAUUCUGAUGGGCAGGUCAGUUCAUUACCUGAUUGUGAUAGUUUCCCAGAUGCUGGUGGUAAGAUAUUGGGGGCUCAUUCCGCGACAAUUCCAGAUAUCCUAACAACGUAAACUCCUGAAUUCAUGUUUGAUUGAAGUUUUGGUGAAGGCUGUAAUAUGUUGCUUGCCUCUUUAAGGGGAAGAAGAUUUGAGUGAAGUGUUUAGUUUUCUCUACUUAGAAUUGAUUGUUCAAAUCACUUGUAAACCUUUCACAUAGGUAACAAUUCAUAUUUGUAAAAAACAUCACCAGUUUGUAGAUUGUUGUAUUAAUUGUUUGAUUCCUUUAUUUGUUCAUAAUUUUCUGCCACUUAUCUGCACUUCAUAACCAAUGAGAAUGAAAUAUUUUACGAUUAUUCUUAAACUGUUGUUGAUCACAAAGUGGAUUUAUUGUCAAUAUUAUGAGUUAUGGUUGGUAACAUGUAAAUGUAAAACUAUUUUACAAUAACUAUAAAGGUUGUCAAUAAAUUGAGUAUACUCAAACAUAGUUGGAGACUAAACUUGAUAAUUAAUUUGUUUAAUUUAUUUCAUGAAUUAAAUUAGUUAAACUUGAUAUAUAUAUAUAUAUAUAUAUAUAUAUAUAUAUAGCUCCAGUCAUUUAGUUCUUGAACUUGCGAGAUAGUAUAUAUAAUACUUUUUUAUAAUAUUGAUUUUAUAUACUCAAUUAAUUUUACAUUGAGUUAGUUUCCAAUACUUUUCAUCCUUUUUUGACAAAUGUACUUUUCAUGUUUGUUAUUAAAUUAAUUUCAAAAUGCAUUCAACUAGUAUAUAACUUUGGAUGUUUAUUUUAACCCUUAAGAGUGUGCCCCCACAAUAACCAUAUUUAUGUAAUCCCCAUUUAACAACCACAAUUCGUCAAGAAUAUAGGUAGAACUACAUGUACCAAUACACCAACGUGCCCCCGCCACGGACUAUGACACGCCUUCAAAAUACUCUUCUAUAUGUAACUAGGAUUACUCCCCAAAUUAGCACUCAAACAACUUCGAGAUGGGAAAUACUGAGCCUUAAAAAUACAGGAAAUUAAGGUUAUGUUUGGAUUGGUGAAGAGUGAUGGAUGGAGUGGGAUAGAGCCAUGUUCCAUUGUUUGGUUUUGUAAAAAAAAUGGAAAGGAAUGGAAUGUGAUGGAACCCAUUCCAUCCAAUACCACCCAUUUAUCCAAUCUUCCAUUCCCCCUAAUUUGAGGUGUGCAUCCAAUAGAAUGGAACACAUUGAUAAUACAGUUACAAUUUUGCCACUUUUAUUUCUUGUUUUUCUUUUUCAAUUACGAGUGCUUGAUUCCAUUGUUUCAUUAUAUCAUGAAUGCAUAACCCUGGUUGGGAUCCUAAACGAAGAUGAUUAGUUACCUCGAACUUAUGUUGGUAGCUUAGUUAACGGCAUCAGUAAUUAACCUUGUCAAUUUUAGAGAGUUUAGUUUUAGACAUAUCAAUAGAGCAGGCAACACAGUAUUGCUACAUGAUAUUAUUUAUUCAUUGGUAAUACUUUGGCUUCAUUAAAAAAAAAAAAUUAUAUCCUGAAUGCACCCAAUAAUUUUUUGGAUGUUUCAAUUAAAACAAUAUAUGUUUGUUACUCAAAUUGUUUCCUGAAUGUACCGAACCAUGAAUAGCUUCUAAAAGGCUUGUUACAAGAAAGAAUUUAGGCUUGUUUAUAAAUCUCAUGUUAGGCUCUGUUUGGUAAAAAUAGCAGAUAGCUGAUAAGCUAGCUGAUAGCUUUUAGCUGAUAAGCUAACUGAAGUGUUUGGUAAAAAUAGCGGUUCAACUAGCUGAUAAAUGUAAAAUGACAUAAAGGGUAUUCUUAAUUCAUAAUAAAAAUUAUAUCAUUAAUUUAAGUAUUUGUAACUUUGUAAACUAAUUUUUCUUUAAAAAAAUACUUUAAAUUUAUUAAUUUAAUAUAUCCUAUAUAUUAUAAAUUAAAUUAAAUUUUAUUUAUUAAAAUUUUAUCUUAUAUUUAUUAUCAUUUAAGUGUUUCUACUUUAUAAAGAAAAUAACAUUUACCUCAAAAAUAAAUAAAAAAUGUAGCACUAAUAGAGUAAUACUAAUAACAGAGAAUAAAAAAAAUAACACUUUUCUCAAAAAAAUAAAAAAUAAAAAGUAAAAAGUAACACUAAUAGAAUAAUAGUAUUUUGUUUCGUAAAAAAAAAAAACGAAGGUAUAUAUUUUUUCAAAAAAAAAAAAAAGACCAGCUGAUAUAUAUAUAAAAAUUGGAAUAAAGGGAUAGUAGUCUUUAUUACGUAGCUUAUUAUAAAAAUUAUAAUGGAUAAAAAUACAAUUUAAAUGAAAUAAUAAGGGUAAAAUUGAAAGAAAAAGUGAGAAGCUAUAAGCUAUAAGCUCAAACGCUACUUGGAAUAGCUUCUGAAAAAUAGCUUAUAAGCUCGUGAAAUAAGCUAUAAGCUCAUGGUGAAAAAGUGUUACCAAACAGAGCUUUUUUUGUCAAACGAGCUUAUAAGUUAAAAGCUAAAAGCUCUUUUUUUGGGUUUCCUAAACAGACCCUUAGUAUAUUCUCAAAUGGUUGUUAUGAACAUGUGUUGACUUUGAGUACUCAUGAAUGAAGGUAAUUAGAGGUGUUCGCGGUGCGGUUUGGUUCGGUUUUGAGAAAAAAGUCAUUCAAACCGCGAGAUAAAAAGCAUGCGGUUUGGUUUGGUUUGGUUCGGUUGAUUUUUAAAAAGUCAUCCAAACCAAACCAAACCAAUGCGGUUUGGAUUGGUUCGGUUUGUGCGGUUUAUCGCAAGAUAAAAAAUAUUACAUUAACUCUAAUAUUGCCAACUUGUCACAAAAUAAACAUAGGACAUUUUAUUUUGAUGUUUAUAUGAUAAAAUAUUAGGUAAAACUUAUAUCUAAAUAGGUAAAAUUAAGAAGAAACAUAAGCAUGAAACAAAUUAUUGGGAAGUAAAGGAAAUAAAUUCAUCACUGGAAAUGAAUUCAAAGAGAUGGAAAGGAAUUAGAAUUGAACUUGAUGGUGCAACAAUGGAAAAAUCGAAUCAAAAGAGAUUAUUUCUGAGCUAUGUUUGGGCUAGUGCAUAUUUAAGUAAUAUUCAUUAUUCUUGCGGUUGGGUUUGGUUUGGUUCGGUUGCUGAGAUUCAAACCGCAAACCGAACCGAACCGCACGGUUCAGUGCAAAAGUCAUCUGAAUUCAUCCGAACCAAGUACGGUUUUUUUGCGGUUUCAGUUUGGAUUGGUUUGGUUUGCAGUUUUUCUAUUGGGUUGGUUCGAUUUUGAACACCCCUAAAGGUGAUCGUUUGAAUGAACCAUGUAUAUUGGUGCUACUAACAUGCCAAAAUAACCAAAUAUCGAUAGAAUUGAGUUAAAAAUUCCACCUAUUGAUGUUUUCUAAAUAUAGAGUAAAAUUGGAAUAAAAAAUUCAUAACUCAUCCUGUUCCGUUGAUUUUCCAAACAAUGGAAUGAGAAAUUAACUCAAUUCCUUCAUAAAAAAUAUACAAACAAUGGAAUGAAAUCUUUAUUUCGUUCCAUUUCACUCUGUUCCAUUCGUUCCGUCAGUUUUAAGUUAUCCAAACCCUAAAAUUUUCAAAUAACAUUCAUCUUAAUUCGUUAGUUUUAAAUUAUCCAAACACUAAAAUUUUCAAAUAACAUUCAUCUUAAUUUUAUGGAAAAUGUUAAAAAACUAAAAAUAGAAACUUUUUUUUUUAAGGAAGAAACAUUUUUUUUGGAAAUUUUAGAUUCAAUGUAUUAAAAUUUUAAAACUUUAUCUUUUCAAUACAAAAAUUAUAUUUAAAACAAAUAUUUUAUAGGUUAGAUAUGAUAUUUAUUGAAUUAUAUUCCAUGAUCAAUUGCUGAAUUAAAUAGAUUAGAAAGAAAGGAUUAUUUGAAUCACUUUAUUCUUUGUGUAUAAAUAAUGUUGAUUGAUUUUUUUCAUCAUUUCUUUAUUAUGACUAAAUACAACAAACCUACCCUCUAUUUUAAAAACUAUCAUAUACCUCCCCUCUGUUGCAUUCUGUUAACUCUCCGUUAGAAUUUAGAAAUUAGCAUAAUUAGGUCAUAUAAAAUAUCAUAUCUAACCUAUAAAAUAUUUUUCCAUGAUCAAAUUGUUGAAUUAAAUAGAUUAGAAAGAAAGGGUUAUUUGAAUCACUUUAUUCUUUGUGUAUAAAUAAUGUUGAUUGAUUUUUUUCAUCAUUUCUUCUUUGGUAUAACUAUAUGUCUGCUAUAACUUCUUCGUGUUUAAAAGAAUGUUGAUUGAUUUUUUUUCAUCACUUCUUUGGUAUAUCUGGUAUAACUUCUUCUUUGAAUCACUUCUCUGAAUGUGCUAUUAUUUUUUUAUCAGUUAUGUUCUAUUUGUUUGGGUUAUUUUUUUUUUCAUGUAAAAAUGUUGUUUGGUAAUGACAAUUGUUGAUUGUUUUUUUUUCUUCAUAUAAGAAUGUAAGUUUGGAAUCUUGUUUGUCAUAGAAUUAUUUAUUGAGUUGUAUAUGAAUAUUUUGCAGGCUAUAAACUUUCAAACUAACGAGAGUAGAAUAGCUGGGAAUGUUGAAUCCAUGAACUCUACUGCUGAACUUGAACUACUAGCACCACUGCCACCGAGUAUGGAGAGGAAAAAUUAUGUGAAUAAAGGUGAAGGUUCCAAUGAUAAACAAACACAAACUCUUCAACAAUUGAAAAAAGAAGAUGGGACAGGAACUAGUAGUACUCUUUCCAGUGUCCAUUUUGAUGUUGAAGUAUGUAGGAAAGCGUUAGUUAGGAUGAUAAUUGUUGAUGAGUUGCCUUUUAAGUUUCUUGAGGGGGAGGAAUUUUGCUAUUUUAUGAGUGUUGGGCAGCCUAGAUUCCCCAUUCCUUCUAGGAUUUCAGUUGCUAGAGAUUGCUGAGAUAUUUUAACCGAAGAGAAACAUAAGUUAAGAAGUAUGUUUAGAAAAGGGGAUUAGAAAGUGCUAUAUGGUUUGUUUCUUACUUUUUGUGGUACUCCUUAUGUAAUGGUUUGUUAAGGUUAUGAUAGUACUAACUAGUAAGGUUGAUCUUUGGUCUUGUAUCAGUUAUUUUGUUUGUCUUGCUCAUUGAGUAUUUGCCUUUUUUGAUCAAAAUAAUAAGGCAUUUGUUCCUUAAUAGUUGCAUGGCUAUUAGGGUUGGGAAUAGGCCAGGCCAGGCCAGGCUUUGAUAGGCCUGAGCCUGGCCUACGAAAAUUUUUGCAGGCCUGAGCCUGGCCUAUGGCCUUUCAUAGGCCUAUUUUUUUGGCCUGGCCUGGCCUGAAAGCCUAUUUACAGGCCUACUUUUAAAUAGGUUUAAUAGGCCUCACUAAACAUUCCAUUUUAUCUACUUUUAAAUAGGUUUAAUAGGCCUCAAAGCCUAUUUGAGUGUAAGACUUGUUUAUCACUAUAAGGCCUUAAAAGCCUAUUUCACUAUAAUGCUUUAAAGCCUAUUUAAAAAGUCCACUAUAAAGCCUAACAUGCAUAAACAGGCCGGCCUAUUAGGCUUCAUAGGCUUUUUUGAUAGCCUAAGCCUGGCCUAUUUACUUAAAUAGGCUUUUUAAAAAGCCUAAGCCUAAUCUUUUUAAUAAACAGGCCAGGCCAGGCCAGGCUUAAACAGGCCAGGCCAUAGGCCCCUAUAGGCCGGCCUGGCCUAUUCCCAACCCUAAUGGCUAUAGAGAUUUUAUUGAAAUAUGACACAUUAUGCAUAAACUGCUACAGGCUAUACCGCUAUAGCCUAUCAUAUGAAAGAAUUUGCUACAGCUAGUAUAUGAAAGAAAAAAGAAAUACUGCAAUUUAUGAAAUCGUCAAAAUUAUUUUUAAUACGGGCACUACUAUCACUUAUUUACAAUUUGGAUAAUCGAAAACCGAUCCAAAUUAAACCGCGUUAAAUUGGAUCGGUUCGGUUCAGAUUUUAUUUUAAGAACCAACCGAACCGAGCCGAACUGCACAUAUUUUAUUUUUUGGAUCGGUUCACUUUUUGCUUCAUAACCGAGCCGAACUGCACCGCAAACACCCCUAAUUUUCUCCAUCGUUGUCGUCGUCGCUCUCAACAGUAAUUGCGGCAUCGUUCUUUCUAGUUUCUAAUGUGUUGUUUUCGUUCACCAUUAUUUAUUUUUUACGCCGUCGAUCGUCAUCAUAUCACUGUUUCGUUUGUGCUCUUUCUACAUAAUAAUAAAUUAAAACCUGUCUGGUGUAAAAAUUCAAUCACAGAAAUUUAUAAUUCUAUAGAUUUUAGUCUCUUACCUCCUUGAUGCCAAUAGUGAUAACCUUUUCUUUCAAGUCAUUAAGUGGUGUUUUCAUUUGGUUGAUUAAAUUUAAAGCUGAAGCUUAAGUUGCUGAGUGAAGGACCAUGAAUGAUUUUAUAGACAAUGCACACACUAUUGAUAGAUACGUUGCAAAAGUAAUUACUUUUAUUGUGGAUAGUGAGAAAAUGAGUUGUAUUUAAAUGAGUCAACGGACAAUUUAACGGUGUUAACCAAGAAGGGAGGUGUUUGUCUCUUUGUUGAAAAUUUAAGGGAGGUUAAUGUCCAUUUUAAAACUAGAGGGCUGUGAGUGCCAUUUUAAUAAAUCUUAGGGGAGGUGAGCGCAGUUUCCUCUAUAAUAAAGACCUUAUAAAACCGCAAAAUCCAAGACCAACUUGUUGCAAAUCGUACAAAAAGUGCAUUUCGACAAAAACCCUAACUCUUCGUCGUUGUUGCUUUCUUCUUCAUCGCUAUCGCUUUUCGUCGCUUUUCGAAAUGGUAAAUUUUCUAUCCGAAUCUAUACCCCAUUUGGAUUCUUCUUCAAGAUUUUUCUAACUUUUUCCCCAAUUAUUUUGCAGGAUGAUUCUCCAGUAAGAAGGUAACCCUUGAACUCUCUUUCAUUGCAAAAAUGAUGAUUAACAAAUAAUUUGUUAGCGAUUAUCUUGAAUUAUGUUUAUUUGUUAAUGAACCCUAACGCAAAAUUGAAUUAAACAUUAAGUUUAUAUUUAUUAGUGAAUUGAAUUUUUAAAUUAUGUUCAUUUAUAAACGAGAUGAAUUAUUUUAUCUUUGAGAUUUUAGGUUAAAGUUGAUUAAUUUUCUGUUUUUUAAUUUUGAACACCAAGUGAUUUUGCCCCUUGUGAAGCUAUUUGUUAUUCUGGUUAUGAUGGAAUAUUUCACAUUUCCAGGCUUUCAAGGUCCCCUUCCCCAUGGAGGGCUCAGUCAAGAUCCAGGUCUCGGUCCAGGUCUCAGUCAGGAUCCCUUGACAGGCACAGGCCCAGGUCUCUGUCAAGGUCGCCUGAAAUGCAAAGGCCUAGGUCGAGGUCGAGGUCUCCUGAAAUGCAAAGGCCUAGGUCUCUGUCAAGGUCUCCUGAAAUGCAAAGGCCUAGGUCACGGUCAAGAUCCCUUGAAAAGCAAAGGCCUCCGUCUCAGUCAAUGUCUCGUGAAAUGCAAAGGCCUAGGUCUCGGUCCAGAUCUCUUGAGAGGCAAAGGCCUAGAUCCCCCUCGAGAAAUCGUGGCAGGUUAAUUGCAAUCAUGGUUUAGCAUUCAAGCAUUGUUUUUACAUUUUUCCGUUCUGCAGUGCCUAAUGUAUUUCCUUUGAUUUACUGGUCUUAUUUGUUCAGAUCAAGAUCAAGAAGUCCUGAUAGGUUAGUCAAUUUUACCUGCAUCUUGUUAUAAUCCUUAGAUUGAAAGAUUAGCUUUACCUUAUUUAGUAUAUCGAUAGAAAUAGCCGUGGUUUGGAUUUGGUGAUGUUCUAUUAGGAACCUCUGAUAUUUUCAAUUUUGUUCUAGGAAUGGUGGGGACACUCUUUAUGUGACUGGUCUCUCUUCAAGGGUCACUGAGAGAGACCUAGAGGAGCAUUUCUCUAAGGAAGGGAAGGUGUGUAUCAUAUUGAUUAUCUCCUCUUUUUCACUGUAUAAUAGUCCAAUUUUCCUUCAUCAGUGAUCCCCGAAUCUUUGAAUGAGAAUGUCAUGGGUUGAUAACUUUAUUAGGUUGCUUCAUGUUUUCUUGUGGUGGAGCCCCGUACGCGUAUAUCUCGAGGUUUUGCUUUUGUCACUAUGGAUACUGCUGAGGAUGCAAACCGCUGUAUCAAGUACCUCAAUCAAUCCAUUUUAGAGGGCCGCUAUAUCACUGUUGAGCGGGUAAUGUGUAUUUUAAUUAACUAGUAGUUGAUAAAACACUAGCGCUUUUCUUUCUUGACUUGAAGGUUUUGUGCUUACAUUCAGAAUGCAUUGCAUCAGCUAUGUUGGCAGCAAUCAAAGAUGAUCAGUUCAUCCAUGUCAACUUUAGUGAAACAACUUGAUCAAAUGCAAGCUUAAACAGCUAAUCAAAUGCGUCUGAUCAACUAAACAUUAGCAAUUAUAACGUUCAACAACUUUACAACCUCAGCAUUCACUUUCAACUCAACUAGCAAUUAUAAUGUUCAACAACUUUACAACCUCAGCAUUCCCUUUCAACUCUGAACUAAUCAACGGACAUUAUUCAACAACUUUCUAAUCAGGCCUUUAUGGUAUCUCACACUUGGCAUUGAUCAUUAGUGUGUGGAUAUAACUUUAUGUUAAUCAAACUUUCUUUUAAAGGGCUCUUACUAUAAUUUGCAAGUGUUCAUUUUUACAAUUUAAUACAACAUGAUGGAUAUACCAGAUGAUUUAAUCUGUUUUAUGUUCAGCUUUACAUGAAUGAUUGGUGCGAGUUUGUUUAUAUCAGUGUUGUCGAUGGUGGAUGGUGGUCCAUGGCAGAGAGCCAAAAUCCUGCCUUUUAGGCCGCUUUAUGGUGCCUUCAUAGUGGCUUAUGGCAGAAAAGCUCGCAACAUCGGGCGAUAUUUACCAUAUCGGAGAGGCCGAAAUCCGCCACCACCGCCAUGGCCCAUAUUCGACAACACUGAUUUAUAUCAACAAAAUUCUAAGGAUGCAGUUUCUCUAUUUAUAUUUCAGUCAAAGAGAAAGCGGCCAAGAACUCCCACACCUGGGCACUAUCUUGGGCUGAAAAAUACUAGAGACUAUGGUAAGUGUGAGACACUUCUUUGAAUCUUUAAUAUAAUUUAUUACUUGUUUUAUGAAAUCUUAUUGAACCUUUGUCUUCUGUUGUUCUCAAGGACCUCGUGGUGGUGACCGUGGAAGGCAUCAGGGUGGAUUUGGUCGUGAUGAUUAUCCAUAUCAUAGGUCUCCAAGGCGUUCUCCGUAUCGUGGUAGCAGGGAUUAUUCCCCAAGACACUCUCCUUAUGGUGGAAGUGGAAGGUAUAGGAGGGAUAGGUCUAGGUCACCUCCUUAUGCUCCAUAUGGUAGCCCAGAUAGGAGGUAUGCUCGUGGGCCUAGGUGAUAUUUUACAUUAGUUUGUUUAGAUAUUUUAAGUUUGAAGAAGGAAAGCAAAAACUGUGUAAUUGCUAUGGUACUUUGACUGUUAGAUUGUGCCUAUAGGUGAUGUAUGCCCGUUUUGGAGGUAAUUUGCACUCUGCAAGUAUUGAUGUAUCUUCAAGUACUUUGACUGUUAGAUUGUGCCUGUAUCGUUUGUUGAUGACAUUGGAGUUAUAUUAUUAUUUCCAAGUAGUGGAACUUUAGUUUUUAAGCCUAAUAAGCGUUAUGUCAGCGUUAUACUGCCAUAUUUGCUCCACGUAACAUGUCACGUAAGCAAAUGACUGCCAUGUCGACAUGACCGUUAGAAGUUGGAUGUCAAUUUGACAGAGAAAGCAAAUUUACGUGAUUGAUAAUAUAAAAAGAUCAAAAUUGUGGAUUGGUCAUGCAAGGAACCAAAAUUGCAUUUAAACCAAUAAUAUAUUAUUGAUUUUGUGGUAAAAAAACACUAGCGAUAUAAUUCUUUUUUGAGCAAUGUUAUUUGAACAUCAAUUUGGUUGACAACCAUAUUGACAAUCAUAUUUUACAAAGAAAAGUAUGUGUUGGCACAAAAACCAAAGCAAUAGAGAGAAAAUAAAAAUAUAAUGUGAGUAUGAAAGAGAAAAUUGUCACAAAAGUUGUUAGGAAAUGGUUGUACAAAUAUUAUUUCUCUGUUUUUUUUUUUUGCUUUUGCACCGAUUUUCGACCCACUAAAGGUGGACGACUAAUCCGGCUCAUGCGUAGAGGUAUGCGCACUGGCCAAGCGUUGUUCCUCUGGGAAUCGUUCUCGGUAUUCCCCGGAUACGUCUUUGGAAGGAGUCCUUGCCACUGGAGCUCAAGCAACUUGGUUACUAGCGAUAUAAUUCUAAUGAUAUAACUAUGAGAGUAUCAUUAUUUUAUGGGUUAAUUAUGUUUAAAGUCCCUAUAAAUAAGCGAGCUUCCAACAUUGGUCCCUAUUUAAAUUUUAAAUUUUUCAUCCCCAAUGUUUUUUUUCCAUUUGUAAGUUUGGUCUUUGCCGUUUUUCAAUGAUUUUUUUAUACAAGUUUAGAACAUUACAAACGGCUCGUUUACUAAAAUUUAGAAUUUUUUAACAUGAAAUAAAUUAAAUUUGAAUUUUUUUAAAAGACAAAAGUUCAAAAUAAAAGUAACAAAAAUCUGGACGCAGGAAUAUAAUUUUGAGAUAAUUUUUUUGCAGAUAAACUUUUCGUGAUGUUCUUAAUACUUGUUACAAAUGCAACUUUUUCAGUGAGUAUAGCUUUUUUGGAAUAUUUAUAGCGUCUUUUUUCUAUAAAUCAGUUUUUUCAUCUUUACAAAAUUUGAAUUGUAAGAUAUAAAAAACUUUAUAUUGAUAUGAAUAGCAGGAAAGUUCAAUUAGAAGAUCAUUUAGUGGUAAAAGUGGACACGAGAACAUAAUCAAACAAAACAAUUUUGGUCUUGCACGCUGUACAUAAACAUGAUGAUUUUUCUCAGUCAGAGUGAAGACUUGGUUUUUAAGCGGUACAAGAGGUUUUUCUUUAUAGAACUUGGUGUUGUCAAUGAUAAGCACAACUUUACCAGGUUCACUAAUUUUAAAACUGUUGCAAAGGAGAGGGACGACGGCGGCAGAUCUGUUACUCACAAGUCACAAGUGAGAUACGAAGAGAGAAGAGAGGGUGAAAAGAAAAACUUGCAGUUGCUGUUGGUGGUGGUGGUGCGAGUAAGACAUGGAGAGGAAGAGAGAAGGAUGAUGGAAAUUUAGUGUUGAGAGAGUACAGUAACAGUAUGGUCUUCAAAAAAUUUCAAAUACUUCCAAUGGUUAAUAUCUAUUUUACAUGCCAAAAAAAAAAAAAUGUUAACUCCCCUAAAGAGGUUGCCCACCGUAGCCUUUGCCAUUGAUAUUUGUCAAUUAACUUAAAUUGGAUUUUCCUAACAAAAAAAUAUUUUUAAAACUUUUUUUUUUUGUGAUCGGAAUUUGAACCUCAAACGUUGCAUAUUUUAUGCAUUGUACAUGCCAAAUGAACUUAAAAUACAAUAUUAAUUGGCUUAAUAGGUCAUUUGGCCCCUUAAUUAAUUUCAAGUUUUCAUUUUAGUCCCAUAAUUAAUAAAACUCUAUGUUUUGGUCUUUUAAUUGUCUCUCCGUCGGUCAAAUAAAUCCCUGAAGUUAACUUUAACCCCAAAUGUCUAUAGUGGACCAAUAUUAUAGAUGGUCCAUCAUAGACCGUAUUAAUUUUUAAAUUUAAACAGUUUGAUUUUUUUAAAGAGAAUACUACCAUUGAAUUAUGCAAUACUACUUUAUGAUACGUAACAACACCUAAUUUUAUUUCCUUUAGUUCAUCUUCUUCCUUUGCCAUUCUUCAUAAUUCAAGAGCACCUCCAUCAAUACUCAUGAACAAGCAAGAAAAAUUUCCAGAAACAAAAGUCAAAACAAACAUAACAUGAUUAACCUCUAUCUUUUAAAUUCCAAUUUCUUAUCCUUUCGUUUCAAAGUCAUCAUUUUCUCUUGCUCAAAUUUCUCUCACGUUUCCAAUUAUUCUAAUCAUAUUUUCCCUUUUCUCUUAUUCUGAAAUUUCCAUCAAGUUUUCAGAUCUACCUUCGUACCAUAUCUAUGAAAGUUGCUACCUAUUUCAUUGAAGAAUAAGGUUUAAAAGAAAAGGCAAAACCACAUAACAUGAAGACCCAUUUUAAGGAACCCAUUAAUGGCGUUGAAGCUACAUUAAAGGUAAACAAGCAUGAAAAAAAAAUCUGUUUCACGAGGGUCAAAAAUUCGAAGCAAAUAAUGGGUUUUGCUUGAGUUUUUAAGCCAGUUUGUGUUGUAUUUUGGAGAAGAACAUCAAGUUUUUCAAAUAAGUGUUUUGAGAUUUCUGUGGUGAUGUGAUUUUUGUAUGGAUACGGAUUGAGAAAGUGAUUUUAUGAUAUGGGUUGGUGAUGUUGUUCGAUUGUGAUUUUUUUUUUCUUCCAGUUUUAUUUUCUGCAUAGAGGUUGGAGGUGAUGAAUGUAUGAAUAUGAUGAUUUUAAAAAAAUUAUUUCUUUUUUUGGGUUUUUUUUUAUCAUGGGUUUUGUAUGAAUGUUGAUGAAUGUGGAGUUGAAGAAAUUGAAACCCGUGUGUUUGAUUUUGUAGUGGAGAAAAUUGAGUUUCAAUAAAUUGUUUUGGAAAAAAAAAUUCUGGAAAAGGUUGAACCUUUUGAACAUGAUGAAAGAUGAUGAAGAUAUGAGGAAGAAGAAGAGGGAAGAGAGGGAAGAUGAUGAAAAGUGAAAAAAAUUAAGUGCUGAUGGUUUACCAUAGAUAUAAUGGACAUGCAAUCAAAUGGUUAAAAUGAUAUAAAAAAUAUCUGACAUUAAGAAACUAACAUAGUGGACCAAUUUAACUAAUGAACGUAUAAUUAAGUGAUCGAAAUGUAAAUUUUUUUAAUUAUGAGACCAAAAUGAAAACUGAAAAUUAAUUAAUUGGGGAAUCAAAUGACCUGUUAAACCUUAAAUAUCCAAUUUACUAAGGUGACAACUAGGCUACCUAUGAAAGAAUGACAAGUAAUUUACCCAAUCAAUACACAUUAACCACAUAAGCACAAUUAUCUUGACCCCACAAAUAAAUUGCUCAUUUUCAUUUGUUGGUGGAUAAAUUACCCACCAUUCUUCAAAGGUAAUUUAGAAAAGGAGAAAACUUAGAUGCAGUUCCCUGCAUCCUGUAGGUGCUGUUCUCCAAUCGACACAUGACACGUCAAUUAUUUUGUCCACGUCAGAUGUUAAGAGAUUAACAGUAAACGUUUUGUUCAGUUACUGUUUCUUUCCAUCUCCUCUUCAACUAACCUGAUCUUCUCUUCGAGAAUCAACAUACCACAGCCACGCACUUUCCCCCUAUCGAUCUUCCAUACCUCCCCCUCUGUAGGGCCACCAACGUAUGUGCAUCAAAACAUGGGACAUGAUAAAAGCCCAAACUCUUUGAUAUAGACAAAACAUUGACAACUUAUUCUUAUAUAAUCAAACAAAAUAUCUGUCAUGGAGGAGGGUUCAGUUUGUGCUGCAACGGUUUAAGAGGAAAUUUUACAUACGCUCCUGCUUGGAUUUUCUUAGAUUCUUGUUUCUUUCCAAAAUUUCAGCAUAUAUGGUUUCUUCUUUCUUUUACUGUGUUGGUGUUUUGCUUUCUCUCUUGCAUUGAGGGAUCUGAUUGUUAUCUUAAAGUUUAAUUACAGGGUGGGGUUUUGCCACUGUUAGUUCUUAGUAGUGAUGAUUUGACAUCUAUGAGAAUGUAGAUUGUGAUAGAACGCAGAUGAUCACAACAGUUGCGAAGACGAAACAUUGAAACGGAAAGAAAUUAACGGACGUUAAAUCAUAUAAUUUAAUAUAAUUAAAUAUCCAGGUGUCCUAUUUUUAUUCGUGAACAGUAAAAACUGUGCCUAUGCAACUGUACAUAAGUUUUCUCCUUUAGAAAAAACCAUUUACUAAAUAUUACACAACUUAAUACAAUAUCAAUUUCUACAAAUCUAAUUUACUAAAUAUUACAAAAAAUCACAAAUUACAUCAAAAUAAAUUUAUUAUUAAAAAACCAAUUUUUUUUAUUUAAUCAAGAGCGAGCAUGGGGUCAUUUGCAACAACAACAAUGUUCAAUUUUUCCACCCUUGUUCAUAAUCCUCAACCCCAAACACUCAUCUUCUCUCCAUUCCCUUCUUCCACACCUCGCAAGUUUCAAUCUUUUCAACCUCUCAAAUCCCCCACAAACCGCAACCUCUACAAAAUUCUCUCUUCAUCAUACCAAAAUGACAACAACGACAACGACGAAGAACACAUCAUCGGAGAUUGUCUGGUUUUCGAAGAAGGCAUUUUCGAAGACCCCAUUUUCCCAACAUCCGACAACAACCUCGUAAACAACAAAAAACCGAAACCAAUUUCAAAGAAGAAAAAACAGACAGUGAUAAAGUCCGAGAAUCUUGUUCCUGGUAAAUGGAAAGAAGUUCAAGCAGGGAUAAACAUAACGAAGAAAGAACAGCCUAAGAUAGCUCAAGAGAUUGAGUUUAAUAGUAAAGAAGAACGGCGUAAGAUAGCUCAAGAGUUUGAGUUUAAUAGUAAAGAAGAACGGCGUAAGAUAGCUCAAGAGUUUGAGUUUAAUAGUAAUUUUAUGAAGAAGAAAAGUGGGUUGGUUCAUUUGAGGGAUAUUGAUUCGAACGAGUAUAAAGCUUAUAAAGAAGCUAAAUUGGC
rnacentral:lncRNA from 1 species